UAUAUCCCUCUGUACCCUUUGGACUUUGGAGCAAAGUAGGAGUAUCUAACAAGGCUUCAACCAAUACACUCUGUCAUGCUUAUGCAUUAACCCAAAAAAAAAAAAAA